UACAAGGUCUUGGUACAAGAAACAGGUCCCGAGCCCAGCUCCUACCCUCCUCCUCCUCCCCAUCACCAUUCACCCAGAUCACAACAAGCGAAUGCCUCUCUCAGACAGAAUAUCCAACUUAACACAAAAGAUUUGGUUUCUCGUUUUCCUAUCUUCACAGGGCUGUAGAAGUGACUGAGAUCACUCCAUUCAGCAAGGACACUGAGUUUGACAGGAAGUUUCAUGGGGCUGAAAACAUGGGCUUGCACCAAACUGGAGUGUGUCACCCUAUGGCUAUCUCCAGGCACUUUCUACUUACAUUGCUUUUCUUUCAAAAAUACCAAGGAGUUUUAGACACUAAUUGCAGGGAAAACCUCUGACAUUGUAGUAUUUGAUUCCUAAAUCCUUUCUGCCAUUCACUUGUUUGCUAAUCUCUGCUUGGGGAGGAGCUGGCUAGCUUCAGGCCAUGUUAGGAUAGGAUUGAGAGGCAGCAGGUCAGACCUGUGCACAGGGAUGGGAAUAGCAUCACCAGCAUGUUCUGAGCAAUGCUGCACCAUUUCAUACACAGGGCUGACUGGAUACUGAACCUGAGUGAUGACCCUGACUACUCCUGGCACAUCUCAACAGCAAGUCUUUGUCACCAGAUAUACGUGGCCAAGUGCUCAAGAAGGUCAUGGUGAACACAGCAGGAGGAAGGUUUCUCGUAUUCAGCUCCAAGGCUUACAUCUGUACGCUUGACAAGGUAGCCAUCAAGCAAGUGGACUGGAAAAGGGAUGAGGAAACAUUUUUCUUUUCUUUUUAGAAGGGGAAUGCAAAUGUAUAACUCAUGGCAAGAUUCAUGUCUCCCAGCAGGCUUAAGAGGAUGACUCAUCAAAGCCUUAUGCUUGUCUUCAGGAUCUUCAAGGUGUAUCAACAGUAUUUUAUUGAUCUAUAGUCAUGGAAAGUAAAGAAAGAAGAGUCUGAGAUCUACACUGAUACAAUAUGUCCAACCUCAGUAAUUCUACCAUUAAGCUACUGGGAUGCCACCGUGGAACAGAAGGAUCUAUAUGGUGGUAUUUCCUGUUCUCCCAGUGGUAGGACAGUUCUCUCCAAAAACAGGUUCUUUAAUCCAAUCGAGAAGAGGAUACUUCAGAAGUUGAAAGUUAGGCAAAGAAUAAAAGUUCAAGUUAGCAGUAAGAGAUACAUUUUUAAUAGUGCGAGUGAGCAAACCCACUGAACAUUCAGGAAGCUCUGUUCCCCUUUGUUUAAAGUUUCCUGAGCAGGAUGGGAUAUUUCACUCAAAGACACAAGGACAGGACGCUAAGACUAGUGGGGGCUGUACACCAACAUUCUGCAGCAGAUGUGGAGGAGAUACAGCUGUGACAUCUUUGUCCCACAGCGACAAAGCACAGGGCUGAAGCAGCACUGCCUGCUGUCCCCAGUCAGGAGGGCAAGACAGACCCCUGCCAUUUCCCACCAUCAAAGGAUGUCUGAAUUCCUUCUGCCCUUCGCCUAGACAAGAGCUGGAAAUUCGACAUUUUUAGUGAGAAAAGAUGGGUUAAAAAAACUCACACCAUCCCUACAGAGGAAGACUUUAGCUUUCUCACGUGUACCUAUGCUGGGAAAAUGUGUGUUUCUGCAUCACGUAAUGCAGUGGAAAUUAUGAGUUUUAAGUGCCUAUCCUUUCCCCUUUCUCAUGCUUCUGGGGGCAGUGCCUGUCUCAGGAGAGUUAAUAGUAUUUUCACUGAUUUAAUUUACAUCAAGGACGUGCUAGAUUGCAACAAGCUGUGCUUUUAAAAGAGGAAAGGAGUCAUAGGCAGAAUAGGAACCUAGAAAAAACCUCCCCAUUCUUACACCCCAAACAGCACCAGGAACAAAUAAAUGCCUUCUGGGGGACAAGCUUACAUUCAAUUUUCUCCUUUUUCUCAUAUUGCUUCCCUGCUUUUCCCAUUGGUUUGCCUUUCCCUGC